rnacentral:lncRNA from 1 species
UUUUCCCCAUUCCCAUGGAAUUUUCCUUGGAUUUUUCCCAUUCCCACGGAUUUUUCCCAAAUUCCCGUGGAUUUUUCCUGAAUUCCCGUGGAUUUUCCCCAUUUUAUUGGAUUUUUCCCGAAUUCCCGUGGAUUUUCCCCGUUUUGGGCCUCCCCCGGCUCAGACCGAUCCCGUUGGAAUUCGGGAUCCGGGGAAGGUUCCAGAAGGAAUUCGGGGAUCCCUGGGAAAUCCCAGCCUGGGAAUUGGCCCAGUUCGUCCCAGUCACUCCCAGUCUGUCCCAGUCCAUCCCAGUUCCAUCCCAGUUUGUCCCAGUUCAUCCCAGUUUAUCCCAGUCCCAUCCCAGUCUGUCCCAGUUUAUCCCAGUCCAUCCCAGUCUGUCCCAGUCCAUCCCAGUCUGUCCCAGUCCAUUCCAGUUUGUCCCAGUCCAUCCCAGUUCAGUUCCAGUUCAGUCCCAGUUCAUCCCAGUUCAAUCCCAGUUCACUCCCAGUCCCUCCCAGUCCCUCCCAGUUCCAUCCCAGUCCCAUCCCAGUCCAUCCCAGUUCCAUCCCAGUCCCUCCCAGUCCAUCCCAGUCCAUCCCAGUCCAUCCCAGUUCCAUCCCAGUCCCUCCCAGUUCCCGGCGGUGCCCGCGGGGAUUUUGCACAAGAAAAGCGGCGGCGGCGGAGGGGGAGGGGCUGGAAAUGGGGAAAUUUGGGAAAUUUGGGAUGGGGGAGGGACUGGGAUGGACUGGGAUGGACUGGGAUGGACUGGGAUAAACUGGGAUGGACUGGGAUGGACUGGGAGCGAACUGGGAUGGGACUGGGAUGGACUGGGAUGGAACUGGGACGGAACUGGGA